AACCUUUACAUGAUAGAAAAUCCAGGAAAAACAUCUACCUUUUCUAGACAGAAAGAAAAAAGGUAGAUGUUUUCUGGGAUUUUCUAUCAUGUAAAGGUU